AUUAGACGAAUCAUCUGGAAAGAUGAAUCAAAGAAGGUAAUAAUCCUGUAGUCGAAAAUGUUGUCUCUCUUGAGUGGAUCCUGAGUACGACGGAGCACGUGAAAUUCCGUCGGAAUCUGGGAGGACCAUCUCCUAAGGCUAAAUACUCUCUAGUGACCGAUAGUGAACCAGUACCGUGAGGGAAAGGUGAAAAGCACCCCGGAAGGGGAGUGAAAUAGAACCUGAAACCGUGUGCUUACAAGUAGUCAG
rnacentral:rRNA from 1 species